rnacentral:rRNA from 1 species
AGUGAACGCUGGCGGUAGGCCUAACACAUGCAAGUCGAACGGCAGCACAGUAAGAGCUUGCUCUUACGGGUGGCGAGUGGCGGACGGGUGAGGAAUACAUCGGAAUCUACUUUUUCGUGGGGGAUUACGUAGGGAAACUUACGCUAAUACCGCAUACGACCUACGGGUGAAAGCAGGGGCUCUUCCGACCUUGCGCGAUUGAAUGAGCCGAUGUCGGAUUAGCUAGUUGGCGGGGUAAAGGCCCACCAAGGCGACGAUCCGUAGCUGGUCUGAGAGGAUGAUCAGCCACACUGGAACUGAGACACGGUCCAGACUCCUACGGGAGGCAGCAGUGGGGAAUAUUGGACAAUGGGCGCAAGCCUGAUCCAGCCAUACCGCGUGGGUGAAGAAGGCCUUCGGGUUGUAAAGCCCUUUUGUUGGGAAAGAAAAGCAGCAGGUUUAUACCCCGCUGUUCUGACGGUACCCUAAGAAUAAGCACCGGCUAACUUCGUG